AUAAGCCCCAAAGGCUGACUUUCAAACCAAAUGCCUCUUUAUUUCAAAGUUUAAAUAGCCGCUUCUCUGUAGCUGCGGUUCUCCCAUGCGUGACCAGCAGCGGGGACCUAAAGCCCAAAGCCCUGCCCCGCCCUGGCCACACGCAGCUGCCUCAAAUUCCACCCCCAUUCUUCUCCUCCCCACUCAAGUGCCUUCACUUACAUUCAGCAACACCCCAUAGCAGCUAGGAGCUGGGUUCCCCUCUGUCAGUUUCCGCUGGACCAAACACGGAGGCCGGAGUGCAUGGCGUAGGUUUGUGCCCAGCGCAGUUUAACAACCCGGCUGCUGCUGUUUGGGGAGCCUGGGAGGCUCCAGCCUAGUCCCGAGGCCCAGGGCGGCCGCCGCAGGGAGAAGCCCCGGUCUCCGGGUCCCCGCCUAGGGAGGCCGGGCCUGUCUCCUGCCGGAGGAGGAAGAAGCGAGCGGCCCGGGCGCCACCUCUUUCCCCUUGGGGGAGGGCGCUGGCAUCCUCGCGGCCGCGGUUCGGGGGCUCCCGGAGUCCCGGAACUCCUCCCAGGACCGGCGCCCUUGAACUCCGGGAGUUGGCCCAGCACCUCGCCCCGCCGUCCUGCCAGUCUCCGUCCCAGUGCGGAGCGGCCCGCCGGCGCGAUGCUGGCCCAGUGGCUGGUGGGCCUGGGGCAGAAGCUGCUGAUCUGGGGCGCGCUGGGCGCCGUCUCCGUGGCGGGAGCCACUCUUCUCCUGAGCCUCCUGCAGACGGUGGCGAGGUGCGCGCGGCAAUGGCAGCAGAUGAGGGGCCUCCCCACGUUGCCUGGCUGCUACCCCUUGGUGGGACACACGCUGAUGAUGAAGCCAGAAGGGAAAGAAUUUUUUCAGCAGCUAAUUUGUUACACAGAAGAAUAUCGGCAUUUUCCACUGCUGAAACUCUGGCUUGGACCAGUACCACUCCUGGUCAUUUAUAAUGCAGAAAACGUGGAGGUAAUUUUAAGUAGUUCAAGUCAAAUUGACAAAUCCUGUGUGUACAAGUUCCUAGAACCAUGGCUUGGCCUGGGACUCCUUACCAGUACUGGAAACAAGUGGCGAUCUAGGAGAAAACUGUUAACACCCACUUUCCAUUUUACAAUUCUGGAAGAUUUCUUAGAUGUCAUGAAUGAACAAACAAACGUAUUGGUUAAUAAGCUUGAAAAACAUGUUAACCAAGAAGCCUUUAACUGCUUUUUUUACGUCACUCUUUGUGCCUUAGAUAUAAUUUGUGAAACAGCCAUGGGGAAGAACAUUGGCGCUCAAAGUAAUGAUGAUUCCGAGUACGUCCGUGCAAUUUAUAGGAUGAGUGAUUUGAUAUCUCGAAGAAUGAGGAUGCCGUGGCUCUGGCUUGACUUUUUGUUUCUUAUGUGUAAAGUAGGAUGGGAACACAAAAGGAACCUAAAGAUCCUACAUAAUUUUACCAAUAAGGUCAUCUCUGAACGGGCCAAGGAACUGAAGAGAGACGAAGAACAGAGAAGUGGUGACAAGGACUCUUCCCCCUCCAAGAAUAAACGCAGGGCUUUUCUUGACUUGCUUUUAAAUGUGACUGAUGAUGAAGGGAACAAGCUAAGUCACGAAGAGGUUCGAGAAGAAGUGGACACUUUCAUGUUUGAGGGCCAUGACACGACUGCAGCAGCAAUAAACUGGUCCUUGUAUCUAUUGGGUUCUUACCCAGAAGUCCAGAAACACGUGGACAGCGAACUGGAGGAAGUGUUUGGGAAGUCUGAUCGUCCUGCUACCGUAGAAGACCUGAAGAAACUUAGAUACCUGGAAUGUGUCAUUAAGGAGAGCCUCCGCCUUUUUCCUUCUGUCCCCUUAUUUGCCCGCAAUCUUACUGAAGAUUGUGAAGUUGCGGGUUACAAAAUUGUGAAAGGCGCUCAAGCAGUCAUCGUUCCCUAUGCACUGCAUAGAGAUCCAAGAUACUUCCCAAAUCCUGAGGAGUUCCAGCCGGAACGGUUCUUUCCCGAGAAUUCGCAAGGACGCCACCCAUUCGCAUAUGUGCCUUUCUCUGCUGGACCCAGAAACUGUAUAGGUCAAAAAUUUGCCACAAUGGAAGAAAAGGUCGUUCUCUCCUGCAUCCUGAGACAUUUUUGGGUAGAAUCCAACCAGAAAAGAGAAGAACUUGGUCUGGCGGGAGAGCUGAUUCUUCGUCCAACGAGUGGCAUCUGGAUCACGCUGACGAGGAGAAACGGAGAUGCGUCCUAACCAUAGUCCUUGGCUGUGCCCUUGUCACGUGAACGGUCUUUCUUGAAGGGAACUGGAUUUACGAUUUCUAGAUCUGGGUUCAAUACUCUGAGUCCCUAGACCUAUUUUUUUUCUUGUCCCUACUUCUGUUGGGAUCAAGCUCCCCAAAGAGUUUUUAUAUUUGCAUCACGACCAUAGGUCUUAGCCCUGGUCUCGAUCCCCAAAGUAGAGUUAACCAGUGACGACACCCAAGUAAACAUAUGAUAGGUUUCUCAGCAGAGGGAUCCACAGGCCAAUUCAAUUCAAUUGGCACACCGAAAGAAUAUAAUUUAAUUGAGAUUCCAGAAUUUUUUAAAGGUAUUCUUACUGCCUGGGGAACAUGUAUAUGCAUGUAUACAUAUGCAUUUAAUUUGAAAAGGGUGGGUAAUUAAGUACUUAGACCUAAGAAGCUCAAGUUUUAAAAUUAUAUGAGUGACAUCAAAUAUGAGAAGAAGAAUUGUUAUGGCACUUUUCAGAUUAUAUUGCCUGGACUUGAUAAUUUUUAAGUUGACUCAUGAGUUCUGUUCCUGUUUCCCUUUUGACCAGGUGCCGAUAGCCGUGACUUCAUUAUCCAUAGCAUCACAACUAGCCUUAUAUAUCAUACACAGUUGGGAAAGACUCCUCUUGGUAAUUUCCAAUCCCCCACAGUGCCUCAGAGGUUUGAGUAAUGGCUUUUGGGGCUGGGAGGACCUUAGAACUUAACUAGUUAUACUCCCUUUUAUUCGAAGCGUCUGAAAUCAGUGAGAAGGUAAGUUUCUGCCCAGAGUCACGCCGCUGCUGGGUGACAGGGCUGGAAAUGGAGGUCUGUGCAUCUCUCCUUUCCCACCGUGAUAGACUGCGCUGUGUUAUGCUCUUACUUGAUGGAACUCAGGUCUGUAGCUGGAUGUGUCCUUAGAACACAGCUUUUUCUGCCUCCGAUUUUGGGAUAUUUCUUCUAGAGCUCUUCCAUCAUUAAAGGGAAAGAGAAGCCACCCAUCUGUAUUUAGUAACUCAGGGAUAUCUCACUUAGUUUAGGGUUAGACUUCCAGUAAAUUCAGUCCUCCGGAACAUACCUACCCAGCUGAUAACUGACAUUCUCUGAGUUCUAAUUCCGUAGGCAAUAUCUGUAUCCCCUCAGCCAGUGCCUUUAAAAAGUGACUUUUAAUGAACACGGUAUUGUUGUUGCUUCAGUUUUCCCAAGGCAACAGCAGAUAGAAGCAACAGAGUAAGAGGAUGGAAUUUCUUUGCAAACCAAAGCCAUUUGCAAGCGCUUCAGGCUGAGUCAUUUAGGGCAGGGUCAGCAGCUCUACCCACUUUACUAUCCCAGGGCACCCCAGUGCGGACAACCCCGUGGCUUAGUUGAUGAGGAAAAGUCAAGGAAGUAUGUGAUACGGUUGAAAAAGGUUCAUAGCAUAGGCUUAACUUUGUUAGCUAGAAAGUGGACAUAUGCAGAAAAUCUUAUUUCCAGAUGACUAUGGAUAAUCAAAGUUUUAUUCAUGGAAAUUAGUAUUAUUUCUCAAUUUUAUGCAUUUAGAUUGAAAACUUGCCUCUUUCUCUUUUUCUCUUCCUCUCUCUCUCUCUCUCUCUCUCUCUCUCUCUCUCUCUCUCUCUCUCUCUGUCUCUCUUUCAGUGGCCCUGCCCUGGAUGUGAAAUUAAAGCAAAACAUUGCUUAAUGUUACCUUUUGGCCUGAGAUCUUCAUGUAGCUCCAGAAUAAUUUGUUAUUUGUGUUUUAAUUGGAAACUCUCGUAACCGUGUUAGAGGGAGAAUGGUCUAUGGUAUCAAAAUGCAGAUGCUGAUUUUUUUUUUAAUAAGAGAAUGAUCAAGUAUCUAUGACCCUAUUACUCGUCUAACUGCUGCUUGAAAGAGACUGAUGCUGAGUUUUCCUGAGUCUGAAGAAUUAACUGGACACGAAGUAGAGAUCCCAGCACAGUUUGCUCGGCUGAUAGCAGCAAGUGAAAUCUCCUAGAGGGGCCUGGGAAUCAGCAAAACCGCAAGCAUCAUUGGAACCCAGCAUUGCAGGCUGGAAACCUCUCCAGGUGACGGGCUAGUGAACUGAUUGAUGCUGUGUUCAUUGUCACAGACAACAAAAGAAUGUCAGUUUCUGGACCAAAUGACCUGUCUUUCAACGGAAGAGGUGCUGCCUGUGCGGCACGUGCACACACACACACACACACACACACACACACACACACUGUGUCUAGAAGAUCAAAACGUUUUGCUUUCCAGCAUCUAAAGGGGUGCUGGUAGGAACAUGACAAGUUUUUGAGUCUGCCUAGAAACCUCCCUCCUUUUUUUAGGAACAGUACCCCCUUUAUCUUUGAAACUGUCCCAUGAUCAAUACCUCCCCCAAUUUUCUUCUGUUUCUCACCUUUUUGCUUCCCCAACAUAUCUACACACUGUAAAUAUACAGUUCUAGUUGAUGACGCCAUGUUCUCAGGCAAUCUCACCGUCUUAAGUGGACUGACCCAAGCAGGGUCCGCUCAGAUUCUCCCCUUGGGAAUCGGUGGAGGUUUCAGGUUGUGAGACUGGGGAUCAGUUGGCAGUUGAAGCUCUGGGCAGAAGGUGCAGGGGAGAGAAGAUGCACAGAAAAGAAACGGAGAGAAUCCUGGAGGCUCUGAGUCCCACAUUCCCAGGGAUGGGCAAGUUCAGCUACACGCCUGCCCUGUGUGCUGUUCAAUUGUUCACCUGCACGCUGGAGCCCAGGCGCCAGGCUAUUGCCAUUUUGUUUAGGUUGAUCGUCUUUCCAUUUCUAACCCAAAGCCAGUUAGUGUUUGUGAGCUCAGCUGCAGGAAGGAGAAAGGUGCUCUAUUCUUCGGACGUGAUCUUCUCUCCUUAUCCUCUUUCCUUUGUGCUGUUCACUACUUCUCCUCCAGGCUGGAUAACCUCAGCCGAUAACAUAUGUCUGCUAGUCAUUGAAAUGUGAUAGAAUUUUUAAAAAUUAAGAUUUAAUUGACAUUAUAUUAGUUGCAGGUGUAUAACAGUGAUUUGAUAUUUGUAUGUGUACGAAGUGAAAAAUGCAAUAGCGUUUGAGGAAAUGCAGAGUUCCCAUCGUUUCUAGAUGGUAGGAAAAUUAAAAGUCCCCUGCUUUAUCUUAGAACAAAUUGGGAUUAGCCUAACACAAGGGUCUAGUUUCUUAGCCCCAUCCUGAUGUAUUCCCCAGGCUAAUUUGUCUUUUUUUUUUUUUUCCUUGCUUUCAUUAAACCAGGUUCACCCCCA